rnacentral:lncRNA from 1 species
AAGCUGUUGUCUGAUUCGACUUCUUUACAGUUGAUUAGAAGCGUGUUGAGACUUGAGAGAAAGAGACGCCAUUGUUCUGAUUGUUGGAGUUUUGAAGUUAGGUGGGUUCCUUGGCAGAGAUGUCUUUCUAUUUAUGCUCUGAAGAGUUGUCUAUGACGAAUCUUGAAGCUUUAAGAUUUGGGUACCAUUCUGUCAACCACGCUGUCCACCACGCUGUCUUCACAUGAAGCUGAGUAACAUUGAACAUUACAAUGUUUUUACUGGCCCCCUUUUAAAAUAUGGAACUUUAGCCAUCCUAUUGUGUGGGCUGCAUGGAACUCAUUUACCUUUGCUGUGAACGUCGGUAACAUGUACACUAAUUGAAGGACAGUAAUGUAUAAGACGCACAACAUUUAGAAUGAUGGAGUACCAAUGUUGAAGCAAGAACAGGAAACAGAAUCUGGAAUAAUUGGGUUAAGACCACCAUCUUCACUCACAAAUACUGAUUCAUUGUAAGAUCUAUGGCGAAGGAACUGACAGCCCGGAAGAAAUUGACGGUGGUGGAUUGGUGUGAAGAAACUAUUGCCGUGGAGUACCCUAAGAUAUGGUACUACUCGAGCAGCCCCUUCAAUUCGAACAGUUGAUUAGAGUUCUAGUUACGACGAAAUCUGAAAAGGCCUUUUAUCAAGAGCAACCAAUUGAGUCAGGUGGCUCCCACAACAUAGUUGAAAAAUGAACAUGAAGGCAACAGCCAAUCCUAUCUGGAAUUUUGCUAGAGAUACCUUUCAGACGGUCGUCAACGUUGAGGAAAAAGAAGAAUCUUAACCCAAAUUAGAGCCAGAAGAACCAUAUACUGCUGGUAUACCAACAGCCAACGGAACUUACUCCACACGCUCCAAGACUAGCAUUAUUGUGGCUUUCCAUUGUUGACUUACGAAUAAUGGUUCUGGCGGAGCCAUCAAGGAAGAAAGCAGUGGUACUUCCACCAAAUCAAAAUGUUCUUUCAAACCGACGUCAGGUAAUAGCAUCAGUCUUGCAGGGGACACUGACUGUAAUCAAUUGAUUGAUCCGGCAAAUGGCGGUUCUUUGCAUUAUUUCCAUCCGACUACGUGUCCAGUCGUUUCAACUGAAGAAUUUUUGCAGCGGAUGGUGGAAUAUAUGCGUAGAAUCUGGUUACAAAGUAUGAGGUCUGGAAGAAGAAAAGGUCGAAACAGAACCCACUGAAGAAGAAGAAAUGAACUGAGCUUUUCUCGGUUGGCCUGUGACGUUUCCCCUGACAAAACUUCUUUGAUUCUUCUCUAUGCCCACCUCUGCUUGGAUCUUGACGUCCAGCUAGAAGAUGCCGUUCGACUCCUUCAGCAAGUUGAAACGCUGCACGAUCAUCGACUAAUGGAAAAAUGCAUUCAGAAAUUAAACCAGAAAAAGUCUCUAGUCACAAAAAAAGUUAAAUUAUCAUCUUUCCUGCAAAUGUACGAUUAAUUAAUUAAACUUUGGUUUGCUCGUCAGAAGGUUAUUCACCUUCGAUCAUCAUCCGUUAAAUACGCGGUGGGACUUGUUAUGAUAUACCAACAUAGCGCUUGUAAGUCACCGUUACUGUGUGUAACCGACUCAUUGACACACCAUGAUCCAGACAAAAUAUUUUGUAACGUCCUUUUCGACGAUGGGGGAUUCUUCCUUCGUUGAUGAAGACAAGCGUAAUGAAUUUCGAAUCGCCGACUUCCUACUCAACUUAUUUUUAUUUAUUUUUUACAGAUAAUUUAAAAUUCGACACUGAUGUGUCGUUCGUCAGCAGCUAUCCGAAUAUCGGGCUUUCUUUUGAACGUUUCAACGGCCGCCGAUACAUCUCCAACGCUAAGAUGACCCUCUUCCCAGAGGAUGAAGGCUUUGCUCUUUCCCUGGUCGGAUAAAUAUGUAUUAUCUUAUCGUAUUAUGUAAUUGCCUGCCUUUUACGUACAUUAGCUGCUAAAUAGUGCCAAAUAGUUUCAUCAAAUUUUACGAGAAAUCAAAAAAUUAUUUAGGCCAUUCAGGUUGUUUUUCUUAAUUCAACCAAUGUACAACUUGUAUGUAAAUCAGGUUCUUGUUUCACUUUUUCAUUCAUCAUUUUGUAGCUUAAAUCCUGUGUUAUUUUGCAAACAAUUUUAACUUUCAAUUCACUUAGAAAUUCCA